UCAAAAUCCAAAAACAACGAGUACUUGGUGCUCUUUCCUCGUGUUACCUCGCAUGUGAUAUACCCAUAUACGAGUUCUCUGAUCCUCUUCCAAGCCAUGUCACUCUUGUAAUAAACCUCAUCUUCACGAGGGCAUCAAGGUCAACCAAAUUAGUGGAUAAAUGAUGCCAACUGCGCUGCUCUAAUUAAUGGCCUCUGCCUCAACUCUUAAGAGGAAAGGAAAAUGGUUUUUACUAUUAAAGUGUGUUCUUUAUUUAUUUUUUGGAAUUAUUGUUUACUUUCUUGCCUUGCUCACUAGCAUCAACAACGCCACUCUUUGCAGCAUCUUUGAGGGGAGAAGGCUUGGAGAGAGAUUGGUUUUGCCGCUUUUUAUGGUUGUUCUGAUCUUGUUCUGUGUCCUAGUCUGAUAUAUUCUGCUUUUGCCAGUGGUUUAUUUUUUGUAAAUAUUAUCUUCUUCAGUUGGGUGGUUUCAAAUUCAAGAAUUAUCUAAGUGUCUAGUUGCCAGAUUUGAUAGUUAUUCUUGUUUUGUAUUAAUAAAUUCCUGUAUUGUUGACCCUUUUCGAUCACAUGGAUUUGGUCUGGCAGAUAGCUUCUUGAUUUCCCUACAUUUUUCGUUGAUCUGAUCGAAAUAGCAAGACUGGAUAUUUUAUUUUCGAAGUUUUAAUCAAGAAACGGAGAAGAAAAUGGAAUCCGAUCUUCAACAUCACCAUCAUUUCCUUCAUGAUCAUCAACAACACCAACAACAUCACCAGAAACAAAUGAACUCUGGCUUGACGAGGUACCAAUCUGCGCCAGGCUCGUAUUUUUGUGGUUUCCUAGACAGGGAACUCUGCGAAGAGCUCCUUAAUAGGCCAACAAGCCCUGAAACAGAAAGAAUUUUCGCAAGAUUUCUGGCCAAUUCUGGUGGCAAAACAGAGAACAUGUCAAACCAAAACUUCGGAGUAAUUAAGCAAGAUUCUCCAGUGAGAGAAGCAGUGGCACAAGUUAAUCAGCAAGCUCAGCUUAUGGCUUCAGUGAAUAAUAAUGAUGCGAGGUUGCAUCAACAACAACAUCAGCAGCAGCUGCUGCGGCAACAGAGCAAUUAUUCCUCCUCUUCACGGAGUUUUUAUCAAAACCAAUCAAGACCACCGUUACCAGAUAAGAAUUCAGGUUCUGGUGUGGAUUAUAGGAUGGUGGGAAUGGAGCGGUUGCCACAGAUGAAGAGUACUACUAGAGGCAGUAAUUCGAGUCUUGUUCGUCACUGUAGCUCACCUGCAGGACUUUUCUCCAACAUAAAUGUCGAAAUGGAUAAUGGCUAUGCUGUAUUGAGAGGAAUGGGAGAUUUUGGAGCAGGUAAUAGAGAAACAUCUUAUUCUGCAGCUAGUAGGCCGCCACCUCAUUCUUCAGGGCGAAUGAGUCCAAUUGCUGAAAUUGGGAACAAAAACAUUGGAAAAAAUAGCCCUGAGAAUAGUGGUUUUGGUGAAACUCGCAGCAACAAUUAUGUCACAGGUUUCCCAAUCGGUUCUUGGGAUGAUACAAGUGCCAUGUCUCCUGGUGCUGGUGUAAAAACACUAACAGAUGAUGAUAGGACUCUUUCUGGCCUAAAUGCAUUCGAAACUCUGGUAGCACGUCCUUGAUCCGUGUUUUAUUUAUUUAUUCAUAUAAAGAAGAAGUUCUUGUAAUUCUUGUUACUGAACAGAGCGGAGAUUCGAGAAAUCACCCUCCCAUGUUGGCUCAUCACUUGAGUUUGCCAAAAACCUCCGCUGAAAUCUCUGCCAUUGAAAAGUUUCUGCAAUUGCAUGAUUCUGUGCCUUGCAAGAUUCGGGCUAAGCGUGGAUGUGCCACUCAUCCCAGGAGCAUUGCAGAGCGGGUGAGAAGAACUCGAAUUAGUGAACGAAUGAGGAAACUACAAGAUCUUGUACCUAACAUGGAUAAGCAGACAAACACAGCAGACAUGUUGGAUUUGGCUGUUGACUACAUUAAAGACCUUCAAAGACAGGUCGAGACACUAUCAGAUAUUCGUGAAAAGUGUACGUGCACAAGCAAGCAGCAGCAGCAGCCGCCGCCCUAGCAGAUGCCCAAGAAUGACUUGGUUAUAUGUAUAGAUUAUUUAGUAAGAAUUUGCAUAAGUAGAUGGUGUAAAAUACAAGCUGGCUUAUGUUUUGUACUAAAAAAACACAAAGAGAUAUGUAAUAGCCAACUCAAACCUAUUGCGAAAUAGAAAAGAAUAGGGGUACAGCGGUAGCUUUGGUUGUAUGUUAUAAAUUAAAUGUGUUUCUAUCAAGUUAUCGAGCUUAACCAACUUAAGGUGAGCUUAUGCGUUUUAUGGAAACAGACAAUAGAGAUUUGGUUUGCACGUUUCUUUCCUUCGCUAUCUUUUGUGUAAAAGAAAAG
rnacentral:misc_RNA from 1 species